UNGUGCUUCUAGCCCAGUCACAUUCACUUC
rnacentral:piRNA from 1 species